rnacentral:rRNA from 1 species
UGUUGCCUCGGCGGGAUUCUUUGUCCCCGGGCGCGUCGCAGCCCCGGAUCCCAUGGCGCCCGCCGGAGGACCAACUCCAAACUCUUUUUUUCUCUCCGUCGCGGCUCCCGUCGCGGCUCUGUUUUAUUUUUGCUCUGAGCCUUUCUCGGCGACCCUAGCGGGCGUCUCGAAAAUGAAUCAAAACUUUCAACAACGGAUCUCUUGGUUCUGGCAUCGAUGAAGAACGCAGCGAAAUGCGAUAAGUAAUGUGAAUUGCAGAAUUCAGUGAAUCAUCGAAUCUUUGAACGCACAUUGCGCCCGCCAGUAUUCUGGCGGGCAUGCCUGUCCGAGCGUCAUUUCAACCCUCGAACCCCUCCGGGGGGUCGGCGUUGGGGAUCGGCCCCCACCGGGCCGCCCCCGAAAUACAGUGGCGGUCUCGCCGCAGCCUCUCCUGCGCAGUAGUUUGCACACUCGCACCGGGAGCGCGGCGCGGCCACAGCCGUAAAACACCCCAAACU